rnacentral:rRNA from 1 species
UGCGCAGGCGGGCUUGUAAGUCAGUGGUGAAAUACUGCCGCUCAACGGUAGAACUGCCAUUGAUACUGCAAGUCUUGAAUAUGGUUGAGGUAGGCGGAGUGUGUCGUGUAGCGGUGAAAUGCAUAGAUAUGACACAGAACGCCGAUUGCGAAGGCAGCUUACUAAGCCAUUAUUGACGCUGAGGCACGAAAGCGUGGGUAGCGAACAGGAUUAGAUACCCUGGUAGUCC